AAGUCACUUUCCCUUCGGGGCAUUGGAGACAGGUGGUGCAUGGUUGUCGUCAGCUCGUGUCGUGAGAUGUUGGGUUAAGUCCCGCAACGAGCGCAACCCCUAUUUCCAGUAGCCAGCAAGAAAGAUGGGAACUCUGGUGAGACUGCCCGGGAUAACUGGGAGGAAGGCGGGGAUGACGUCAAAUCAUCAUGCCCCUUAUGAUCAGGGCUACACACGUGCUACAAUGGCGUAAACAAAGGGAAGCGAAGUGGUGACACGAAGCAAAUCCGAAAAAUAACGUCUCAGUUCGGAUUGUAGUCUGCAACUCGACUACAUGAAGCUGGAAUCGCUAGUAAUCGCGAAUCAGAAUGUCGUGGUGAAUACGUUCCCGGGUCUUGUACACACCGCCCGUCACACCAUGGGAGUCGGAAAUGCCCGAAGUCAGUGACCCAACCGAGAGGAGGGAGCUGCCGAAGGUGGAGCCGGUAACUGGGGUGAAGUCGUAACAAGGUAGCCGUAUCGGAAGGUGCGG
rnacentral:rRNA from 1 species